AGACAUGACACGUUGCUAGACGUCAAUCUUGUUUUAUAGAUUUGAUCAAAUUAAAGAGUUUAAUUCGAUCACCAAUUAGAAAGGAUUCUAAUUGUUAAGUUCGGGUUCGCGCAGUUUGGACUUAAAUCGAUUAGAAAAGUUCUAAUCAAGUUGGAUCAACUCGCACUCACACGUAUUGCUGGCUAAGUAUGGAACCCAAUGGGUCACACACAAGGAAACUUAUCAAGGGUCUAAUUGGAUUAGAUCAUGUUUGCAAGAUAAACAUCCUAGCAGGUGUUGCAAACCUUAGCUCCUAAUUCGAAUUGGAUUCGAAUCUGAUUCGAAUAGAUCUAAUUUGAUUAGAUCAUAUUCUAAUAUGGGUUAGCCAAGAGUUGGCACCUAAUUGGCUUGGUUUGAGUCUAAUUGGAUUAGAUUUAAUAAAUCAUUCAAUCUAGACUGUUAGAUCUUGAUCUACUGUUGGAUGAAGACAUAAUGGAUAGUUGGUUUAACCCAAUUGGAUUGGGUUAGAGGAUGGCUACCAUAAUUGACCAUUGGAUCUUAAUCCCACCAUUGGAUGAAGACAUAAUGGGUCAAGUGAAUGGCGCCUUG
rnacentral:lncRNA from 1 species